rnacentral:rRNA from 1 species
GACGAACGCUGGCGGCGUGCCUAAUACAUGCAAGUAGAACGCUGAAGAGAGGAGCUUGCUCUUCUUGGAUGAGUUGCGAACGGGUGAGUAACGCGUAGGUAACCUGCCUUGUAGCGGGGGAUAACUAUUGGAAACGAUAGCUAAUACCGCAUAACAAUGGAUGACACAUGUCAUUUAUUUGAAAGGGGCAAUUGCUCCACUACAAGAUGGACCUGCGUUGUAUUAGCUAGUAGGUGAGGUAAUGGCUCACCUAGGCGACGAUACAUAGCCGACCUGAGAGGGUGAUCGGCCACACUGGGACUGAGACACAGCCCAGACUCCUACGGGAGGCAGCAGUAGGGAAUCUUCGGCAAUGGGGGCAACCCUGACCGAGCAACGCCGCGUGAGUGAAGAAGGUUUUCGGAUCGUAAAGCUCUGUUGUAAGUCAAGAACGGGUGUGAGAGUGGAAAGUUCACACUGUGACGGUAGCUUACCAGAAAGGGACGGCUAACUACGUG